UCCUUGGCAGUCCAGUGGUUAAGGAUCUGCACUUCCAAUGCAGGAGGCCAAGGUUCGAUUCCUGAUCAGAGAA
rnacentral:tRNA from 1 species